GACGAACGCUGGCGGCGUGCUUAACACAUGCAAGUCGAACGGAAAGGCCCUGCUUGCAGGGUACUCGAGUGGCGAACGGGUGAGUAACACGUGGGUGAUCUGCCCUGCACUUCGGGAUAAGCCUGGGAAACUGGGUCUAAUACCGGAUAGGAGCCAUUUUUAGUGUGAUGGUUGGAAAGUUUUUUCGGUGUAGGAUGAGCUCGCGGCCUAUCAGCUUGUUGGUGGGGUAAUGGCCUACCAAGGCGGCGACGGGUAGCCGGCCUGAGAGGGUGGACGGCCACAUUGGGACUGAGAUACGGCCCAGACUCCGACGGGAGGCAGAAGUGGGGAAUAUUGAACAAUGGGCGCAAGCCUGAUGCAGCGACGCCGCGGGGGGGAUGACGGCCUUCGGGUUGUAAACUCCUUUCGCUAGGGACGAAGCUUUUUGUGACGGUACCUAGAGAAGAAGCACCGGCUAACUACGUG
rnacentral:rRNA from 1 species